ensembl:lncRNA
GGAUUGCAGAUAGCAAACAGGCUGCGUGGAGCACGCCAAGCACCUGGAUACAGAGCAGCGAAUGGGGCUGAGGGUGCUGCUGGGUUGGUAAGGGGACAGAGAAUGGGACUUCACCCUCUGGUGCCAGCCCAGGGCCCAGGAGUUGACCUCCAACCACUGCUGGUAAGUGUAAAAGUAUUAAUAAUGCCGCAGCGGGUCUCCAAGAAUGGGAAUUUACGGUGGUAGUCAAAGCCAAUGUUUCGGAUCAAUGCAACAUCCCUACUCAGAAUGAAAAAAUAAAUUAAACGGACUGUCAUGUGGAGGGUAUGUAACCAAAUCAAUCAUAUUUAUGGUGUUUAAUCAAAACUCGGUUUGGUUAAAUGUAUUCCAUAUGAUGGCUGUGGGUUGCGGGAUGCUCAACUCAAGGAAGCCACCAUUGGCGCUGCUGUUGAGCGGAGGGCUCAGCCCAGGGCUGUUGCCUUCAGACCAGGUGUUCAUUUGCUGAUGAUGCUUAUGUGUGUGUGUACCCAGGACAAUGCUGAUGGACUGCUGUGGAUAAAUGAUGUUCGUUCUGCACCUUGAGGGUGGGAUGCUGCCUUGCACAGGGGUCAUGUCUUCCUCCACAUCCAGUACCGAUGGGGCUGUAUGGAACACCACACCAAUGGACUGCUGUGCCAACAACAUGUUGGGUUGGAGGUAUGCAAUUGCCAUCUGGGUACAGUCCCUGUGGCCAAACCCAAUGGCGAUGUAGGACACAAGGGUGGCUGCCCAUCGCCGCUCCCUCCGGAAAGGAGCCAGACAGGAGAGAAAUCACUGCUGUCCAUGCCCCAAAAUCAAGAUGUGAAGUGGACAAGGCUCUGUUCUGCUGUUCCCUCUGCUGAGAUGUCAGAAGGACUCCCCAGGCAUCCAUCCACACUGAACACCUCCAUGAGACCUCUCUGCCCCAGGAAGCAGGAAGAUGCCUUUAUAUGUCCCCUUUUAGCAGCUGCUGCAAACUUCUUUUAUGCUAAAGCACGUGGAGCCGCGUUGAUUUAUUUAGCAGCGUCUCUGGAGGCUUCUUCAAGGUUAAGAUGUAGACAUCGCAUGUUAGGCUGGGCUGAAUGCUGGCAGGAAAAGACAUUUGGCUCUUCUAAUUGGAAAAACACGCCGCUUUUAUCACCCCGAGGCCAAGCCUCUACCACAGCCACACAGCAUAGGGGAACACAGCGGCUCAGCCCUGGGUCCCCAGAAAGGAGCACCGUCCCCUCACUGCCCUCCAGGUCAGCCCCGGUGGUGCACCCAUCCCUGCUGAGUGCUCAGCACCGGUCACGGAGCUGUCAGCCACGCUGUGCCUCAGUUUCCCCACUGCUGCUGGCUGCCAUGGGCUGCGUGCUGAGUUUCGGCGCAGUGUGUCUAAGAAGCCCCUUCCCCAUCCAUCUCGGUGUUCCCACUGCACAACACGGAGCACACCCACUGAUGAAGGCACACAGCAUCCUCAUCUGGCCGGGCUGCCUCAGCCACGUCGGUACUCAGAGCUACAGAUACAGAGGUAAGGCUGCAUUUUUGGUGAUCCUUUGUCCCCUGUUUUGCAGGAGCCAGCUGGGUCUCCCACCACAGACAGGGAAUUGCUGUGGGCUCCCUGUGCCCCAGAGCAGCAUUGAGGCAUUGAGCCAUUGCCCCUCCUGACCCCAGACCCUGCACACAGCAGGGCCUGAAAUGGCCCUUUCCCAGACAUCUCCGUAAGCAAUGCCUUCAGUCUCUGCUUAAUGACUCCCAGCCAUCCUUCCUCCUUGCAGAAGCCAGCAGCACAGCAGGCAGGGCAGAUCCCCAGCUCCUGCUCCCCCCAUUCCAAACAGCAACUUUGGGGUCUCAUAGCAAACCCCAUCCCACCAGCAGCAAACCCCCUAUUUCCAGGCCUGGCCCUGGUUUGUUCUCAUUUCCUUUCCUUACUGAGCCUCCCCCCAGGAAUGGGACGAUGUCUUUUACAGCUCUCCCUGCUUCCAGUGUAUCAGAAGCAUGCCAAGACAUUGCCCUCUCCCAGGGGUGAGGAGCAAAGUGCCCAAUGUGGAGACGAGAACUGAUCUGGUGCUGCUGCAGCUGAGGGGCACAGUGCAGGGCCACAGCCACGUGGGGACUGGGAUUGAACCCGGUGCAAGAAGCCCAGGAGGAAAUCCCAUCCCAAUGCUAUGGGGCAGAAACCCAAUGCUGCCCCCAAAAUCUUUCCCCACAGCCUCCAUCCUGCUGCCUUCCCCCCCAGUCCUCCUUCUCUCACCUUGCCUUCCUCCAUUGCAUCCAUCCUCCUCUCUGGUGCCUCUUGCUCCAUCUCUGGGCACUGCUUUCCCCUCCCCUCCUCCCUUCCCAACCCCUGAGCUCCAGCUAGUUUAGAUCUGCCCUGGGGUGAUGUAGGGGGGAACAGGGGCAGCACUGACCCCUCUCCAUACUCCCAGUUUGGCUCAGUCUGAGCCCUAUGGUUGGGAUGUCCCUCCCACACCCAGGGCUGCUGGCAGCAUCUGGCCCCACUCCAGAGAGGAGGAGGAGGUGGAAGAGGAGAUUCCCCCAUGGGCAGCACUGUGGUGCAAAAGGCUGAAAGGAGCUCUGGCCAGGAGCAGGGCCUUGUGUGGAGGUGGUGGGUGUGAGGAUGGCUGAGGAUGCUUUUGCCUAAAGAGCAGUGGGAUGUGAAGGCAAACAGUGGGAACAUUGCUCCUGGAGCGUGGUGGUGCUGCCCAGGGACUGCCCUGCUCUGCCUGUGAGCGUUGGGACCCGGCCCAUGCUGUGGUGAGCACAGCAUUUGAAUGCAGCCAACUGACCCCCAGGGCCUCAGGCAGUGCUGCAGAGCAGUGCUGGGGCUCACCAUGCAUCCUUGCUCAGUGCCAGGGUGUGCACAGUGCUGGGCAUGGCUCACACUGUCCGUUCUCUGCUCACCCUGCAGGACAGAUAUUGCCUAUAGCAAAAAAUUACCCUCCAUAGCAAAAAUACAACAAUCUCUACGGGCAGGACUCGUUCUGUGCCCUCCAUCCCAGCAUGACGAUGCCCACAGUGCUCCUACAGCACCACAGGGCAGUUCCCUGCUCUGGUGCAGGGCUUUGGGAUGAGGGUCCCCUCUCCUCCUCCUGCUCAGUGAGCGAUGCCUUCACAUGGCUGUCCCAAAGCUCCAGGCCCACUCAGCCCCGUGCUGCAACGCACAGAGCCGGAACAAAGCCGUGCUGCCUCAAAUUCCUCCAGUGCCGGGCUCGGGGCUCUGUGCUGCUUUCAGUUCCUAAAGCCAGCUUCGCGCUGUGCCCUGUCGGCCCACUCCCACGCUCCAGCACGGGGUAUCUUGACAGAUUGUUUGGUGGUUUGUUUGUUUGUUUUCUAUUUUAUAAUAAAAGGAAAAAAGCGAUUGCAAAGCAGAAAGGACCGUUUUGGGGGUACAUUUGGCAGUGAAAUCAGAGCUCGGGCUGGGAACCAGCAGGACAGCCUCCCUGCAGCCUCCCUGCGAUGCUCUCCAUGCACCGAACCCCGCACCACUCCUUCCUACACCAUCCCCCCGCUCACACCAAUGACUUUUAUUUUCGUACACGAAAAAGAAAACGCACAACGGAUUGGGAGCGUUAUUUUUCUGAACGCCACUUCGAAGAGUAAAAAUCUGAAAGCGUAAAUCCGGAGCAUCGUGGCAAAAUCCGGGCUCGGUUUAAAAACUAAAAGGGUUCUGCGAUUGUUUCUUUUCGUUUGUGAAAUAAUUCAACCCUCACCAAUAUUCCGGGCAGACGAGUGUUCGUUCGCCGUUUAAUCUCAGCGGUCGCACAACGAACCGAGAUUCCGAGGGGGUGAGAGAGUUCGGCGCAACGUAACUAUCAAAUAUCCCCCAAAGACUUAAAGCAAACCACACGUGGCUGCUUCUCUCGCUGCCCCACUGCCCGCAGCCAUCGGUGCAGGACGGAGGACCGCAGCGCUUCGCAGUGCCAUUAAGCAUUCGUUAAAACAUUUACUCGAUGGGCCGUAACAAAGCGCCGGAGCCGCGGGCGCACGCAGAGACUCCAUCGGACGGUUCUGCGGUGCAAAACCGUCGCGUUCAGAGCCGCGCAGCCCUCAGUCCCCUCUCAUCGCACCUCUCUCGGGCAGAUGCUGGAGGUGGAAGGGCUGCAGCUUACCCCGCUUUCUGCCGUCGGUUCUGGGCGUUCCGAUUUCGGGUUCCCCUCUCUCGGCCCGGAGCGCAGUGCCCGGCCCGUGGCAUCAGAGCCUGAGGGAUGGAGGGGGAAAGCAACGUGAGCCAGAAGCUCGCAGCGAGGUCUGUAAGUCCUUGUAUGGCAGAAAUAAACGUAUUACACCGUUAUUAGAGAUUUGGCGCUGGCCCUGUCGAGAAGCCCGGCUUUGGUGCUCUGCGAUUCCUCCCGAGAACAGAACUCAGCGGUUGCUCUCCGUACUCGCCGCGUUUUCUCUGGCCAAAUCCUGCCACCUUUUCUCAGCCCUCAGCCAUUCAAACCCGCAGCGGCGGUGCGAACCGCUGCGCUCCCGCUGCAGCCGACAGCUCCGUGCCAAAGCGCACGGCCGCGGCUCCCCACCCCCCGUCGGGGCGGCCGUCGGGGCUGGCAGCUCCGCGAGGUUCAUCGCAUUUGGGGUGAAAAGAAACAAUAAAGGAGAGCCGCACCGGCAAGGGCUGCGCGGCAGGGCAUCCCCGCAGGUAGCGCGCAGCCGCAGCCUUUUCGGGUUUUGUUUUGCUUUGUUUUGUUUUUCUUCUUCUUCAUUUUUUAUUUUUCUUUCCCCCGACCCGCGACUGUAAUUAUUAGAGAAAAGCGACAGUGAGCUUUUAUUAAUCGACGGUGUUCGGGGCCAAGGCAUGAGCUCGGUGACAGUGAUGAGUGGUGUGGAGAGCCGGUCUCUGGAAGCAGGGCUUAUCCUCCCCCCUUUGCCUGCUCCCUGGACUCGGCGAUGAUGAGCCACGAAUAGGAGCCACCCUGCCGUCGGGGAUCCGGCCGUUUAUCUGCCGGGUGAUGACAGUCGGGGUGGAUUGGAGCCUCGCCGUGGAUUGCCGGAGCCUCUUGGAAGCACCGCGGAUACGGGGACGCUGAGGUGGCGGGAGCGGCCGCGGCCUCUCCCAGCCCGGACGGCCCCGGCCCCGACGUUGCGGUCGGAGAGCCGCGGGGCGCUGACCGCUGUGCGCAGGUGGACGGCGUUCCGGGCACGGACAGUCCCGGCCCGAGAAAGGCCCGAAGCGGCCCCUCUUCUACAAACGGGGAGUGCCGGGGCUGGAGGGGAGGAGGGGGGGACUUCGGCUUUGUUUUAAUCAAAUACUCCCCACUCGGGAUCGCCCCCCCCCCCCCCCAGCCGUUUUUGCUUGAGAGACAAAAACUGCACUGAACGUAGGAAAGAGGAGGAAACGCCCGUGAUUGCAGCUGCGGGAGGAAGGGGUGGAGGGAGGCAAAACCCAAACAAAGCCGAGCACCAGCACACAGCCGACACCGAAAUCGUAUCACCGCGCAGCCGCUGACCCCGGGCAGAGCCUCGGGCAGAGCCACGAGCCCGGCUCAGAGGUUCGGUACCCCUCACCCGACCCCCCCGGGCUCACGUCGGGGUCCGCUCUCACCUGCCGUCAGCUCCGCGCUGCUCCCCCGCCCGCACGGCCCGCUCUGCCCGGCCCUGGUCGGUCUUUCUUUCUAUUUAUAUAUUUAUUUUUCCUGUUUCUUUCCUUCUUUCUUUUCUUUUCUUUCUUUCUUUCUUUUUUUUUUUUCCCCAUUUUUCCGUACGAGAGGAGAAAAGGUUCAUUAAGAGGUUGACCCCAGUUUACUUUUUAUUCCGCUCCUGUUCCCAAUUUCGACACCACGUGAUGGUGGGAGUGAGUUUAGGUUGAAAUUCACUUUUAGGAAAAGAAAAAAAAAAAAAACAACCGUAUUUAAAAAACCAUAAAAAACGAAACUCCUGCCCCGGAAAGGCCUGAUGGCCCAUGGCUGCAGCCCGCUGAGCCCGGUUUGGGUAAGCGGCCUCUGGUUCCGGAGGGGCUGUGCGAUAUAGGCUGCUUCAGAGCACUGCGGGUUGUCGCGACAUGGGGUAGCACAUCCCUAUGGGUAUGCGUUUCGGCUGCGGGGGGGUGCGAGGUGAACGGGAUUGCUUUUGGUAAUCGCGAUAGCAGAGAGAUGCGAUCCAUUGAGUCGCGACAGCCCUCGGUGACCGUCUAUGCUCUCUGGGUUUCUCCCGGCGGUGGGAACCCCGAGAAGGCCGCGGUCAGAGCCUGUGGGGGCCCCGGCCCUGUGCUGUGCGCCACCGGCACAGCAUCCCCGCCGCAGCCGCUCUCACCUCGGGGCAGUCCCGGAGGAGCGGCCCGGGCCCUGCAGCCACCGCUUCGUCUGUGCCGUGUGCGGGGGCACAGCGUGUCCCCUCCACAGCGGGCGGUCCGUUGGGGAGACCCGCACCUCAAAUCCGUCCCUAUUCCCCCACUCGGAGCAGCAGGGACGAUUCGCAGUGCAGCAGGGCCAGAGGUCUCACACCCGACCCCCGACCCGUGGCCUCUGUUCUGCAGCCCCCAGCUCUCCUCCACCCGCAUGCAGGGAGCACCGGGCCCGCCGGGGUCUGGAGGGGUCUGCGGGGCUGGGGGUGCACCCUCCUUCCCCGGUGCCUCUCCACAGCGAGACACAGCUCGGGCGGCCCCGCUCGCCGCAGGCCCCGUGCAGAGCUAAGCAGAGGCCUCGGGCCGAGCCCGGUGCGCCGUGAGCCGGUGCUCGGUACCCA